UAUAGUGUCCAGCAUUAAAGGUUAAUAGUGUCCUCAUAAGCUACCUUGCAUAAGUCACUGGUCCAGCUGUACUUGAGCUGAGAACUGUUCUGGUUUCCAACAAGGAUUUUUUUUAACUCAGACUUGCAUAAGGCACUUCAUAUGACACUUCCUUUUUGUUACAUUAAUUUUUUUUUUUGGUUUUAGGUCAGACUUGGUCUGAACGACUUGACUGGCUGGCAUAGCAGGAAGUCCCCAUGGCCCUUUUUUGAGCCUGUAACC